rnacentral:tRNA from 1 species
UUCUUAUUAGCCUAUAUAGGGCGUUAUUUUGAAGCAAUAAAGGAGAGUCUCAUAAGAAA